rnacentral:rRNA from 1 species
UACAGAGGGUGCAAGCGUUGUUCGGAAUUAUUGGGCGUAAAGGGCGCGUAGGCGGUGCGGUAAGUCUGUAGUGAAAUCUCUGGGCUCAACUCAGAGUCUGCUGCAGAAACUGCCGUGCUUGAGUGUGGGAGAGGUGAGUGGAAUUCCCGGUGUAGCGGUGAAAUGCGUAGAUAUCUGGAGGAACACCGGUGGCGAAGGCGGCGUUCUGGACUGCAACUGACACUGAGGAACGAAAGCCAGGGGAGCAAACGGG